rnacentral:misc_RNA from 1 species
GAUGAAGAACGUAGCGAAAUGCGAUACGUAAUGAGAAUUGCAGAAUUCAGUGAAUCAUCGAAUCUUUGAACGCAUAUUGCGCUCUCUGGUAUUCCGGAGAGCAUGCUUGUUUGAGUAUCAGUAAACACCUCAACUCCCUUUCUUCUUGAAAUGGAGCUGGACUUGAGUGAUCCCAACGCUUUAUUCAUAAAGUGGCGGGUUACUUGAAAUGCAGGUGCAGCUGGACUUUUCUCUGAGCUAUAAGCAUAUCUAUUUAGUCUGCCUCAAAACAGAUUAUUACCUUUGCUGCAGCUAACAUAAAGGAGAUUAGUUCUUGUGCUGACUGAUGCAGGAUUCACAAAGACCGCUUCGGCUGUCUUUGUAAACUCGAUCUCAAAUCAAGUAAGACUACCCGCUGAACUUAAGCAUAUCAAUAAGCGGAGGA